rnacentral:rRNA from 1 species
UACGAAGGGGGCUAGCGUUGUUCGGAAUUACUGGGCGUAAAGGGCGCGUAGGCGGUUGCUCAAGUCAGGCGUGAAAGCCCCGGGCUCAACCUGGGAACAGCGCUUGAGACUGGGCGGCUUGAGUUCGGGAGAGGUGAGUGGAAUUCCCAGUGUAGAGGUGAAAUUCGUAGAUAUUGGGAAGAACACCAGUGGCGAAGGCGGCUCACUGGACCGACACUGACGCUGAGGCGCGAAAGCGUGGGGAGCAAACAGG